UGGGGUGGCUGUUGACUAAUUACCAUUAUUUGACUAUCUAUCUUAGAUGUGAAACAACUAUUUAUUUCCUGGAAAUUACAAUGAAAAAGGAGUAAAAAAAGAAGAAUAUGACAACUAAAACUUACAAAUGAUUGUUUCAUUUUGUCACCAAAAAUAUGAGAAGCUGCACUAGAAAGUGUCAUGCUUGCCAUAAGAGUUAAAAAGUUAUAGUACUUGCCUGCCUUGUUAAGACCAUGUCCAAGGAGGCGAGGGAUCUGUCUGAUAAUAGCCUCUGAUGCUAGAAAAGUAUGGUACUUCUUAGCAAGGUCCGUAAUAUUGUACCGUAUCGGAGUUUCGACCUGGGUUCGGUACCGAUACGGUACGGUAUACCGAGCGAUACACCCAGGUGUACCGCUCGAUAUAUUUAGGCGUGUCGAGCACUGUAACACUACUACAGUGCUACAGUGUUGCUACAGUGUUGCUAUAGACGGUCCGCGUACCGGAAGCCUGUCGGACCGGUACGUACCGGGCGGUAUGGUCCGAUACUGCAGACCAUGCUUCUUAGCAAGUUUUUAAAGCAACUUCUUAUUUUUGUUCAUCUUCUUUAGACUUUCCACAUCCAUGUAGUCAAGGCCUAUCUUCUCGACCUGGAGAUGGCAAAAGCAAGCAUUAGCAUAACGGAAUCAUGAUCCCAGAACCAAGACAGAUAAGGUUUAGAAUUAGACAAGCAUCUUAAUUUGAUCAUGUAAAAAGGCAACAAAAUCAUAAACAUUCACAGGAGAAAAAUUUUGAACACAAAAUUGAUUUUUCGUUAUAAUAUUCAUAUAAUGUGAAAAGUGCAUCUUUUAAGAAAAAUGUGUUGUAGAUAUAAUCAUCCCAUGUGUUGUACUUAUCAUCGAAAGAAUCAACUUUGAAAAAAUAUAAUUGAAGAGUCACAUAAA
rnacentral:lncRNA from 1 species